UACGAAGGGGCUAGCGUUGCUCGGAAUUACUGGGCGUAAAGCGCACGUAGGCGGUCUUUAAGUCGGGGGUGAAAUCCUGGAGCUCAACUCCAGAACUGCCUUCGAUACUGAAGACUGAGUUCGGGAGAGGUGAGUGGAACUGCGAGUGUAGAGGUGAAAUUCGUAGAUAUUCGCAAGAACACCAGUGGCGAAGGCGGCUCACUGGCCCGGUACUGACGCUGAGGUGCGAAAGCGUGGGGAGCAAACAGG
rnacentral:rRNA from 1 species